UACGAAGGGGGCUAGCGUUGUUCGGAAUCACUGGGCGUAAAGCGCACGCAGGCGGAUCGAUAAGUCGGGGGUGAAAGCCCGGGGCUCAACCUCGGAAUUGCCUUCGAUACUGUCGGUCUCGAGUCCGGGAGAGGUGAGUGGAAUUCCUAGUGUAGAGGUGAAAUUCUGAAAUAAUAGGAAGAACACCAGUGGCGAAGGCGGCUCACUGGCCCGGUACUGACGCUCAGGUGCGAAAGCGUGGGGAGCAAACAGG
rnacentral:rRNA from 1 species